rnacentral:rRNA from 1 species
GUCUACGGCCAUGCCACCCUGAACAAACUCAAUCUCGUCCAAUCUCAGAAGCUAAGCAGGGUCAGGCCUGGUUAGUACUUGGAUGGAAGACCGUCUAGGAAGACCAGGUGCUGUAGGUG